rnacentral:rRNA from 1 species
AGAGUUUGAUCCUGGCUCAGGACGAACGCUGGCGGCGUGCCUAAUACAUGCAAGUCGAGCGAACAGAAAAGGAGCUUGCUCCUUUGACGUUAGCGGCGGACGGGUGAGUAACACGUGGGCAACCUACCCUAUAGUUUGGGAUAACUCCGGGAAACCGGGGCUAAUACCGAAUAAUCUCUUUUACUUCAUGGUGAAAGACUGAAAGACGGUUUCGGCUGUCGCUAUAGGAUGGGCCCGCGGCGCAUUAGCUAGUUGGUGAGGUAACGGCUCACCAAGGCGACGAUGCGUAGCCGACCUGAGAGGGUGAUCGGCCACACUGGGACUGAGACACGGCCCAGACUCCUACGGGAGGCAGCAGUAGGGAAUCUUCCACAAUGGGCGAAAGCCUGAUGGAGCAACGCCGCGUGAGUGAAGAAGGUUUUCGGAUCGUAAAACUCUGUUGUAAGGGAAGAACAAGUACAGUAGUAACUGGCUGUACCUUGACGGUACCUUAUUAGAAAGCCACGGCUAACUACGUGCCAGCAGCCGCGGUAAUACGUAGGUGGCAAGCGUUGUCCGGAAUUAUUGGGCGUAAAGCGCGCGCAGGCGGUCCUUUAAGUCUGAUGUGAAAGCCCACGGCUCAACCGUGGAGGGUCAUUGGAAACUGGGGGACUUGAGUGCAGAAGAGGAAAGUGGAAUUCCAAGUGUAGCGGUGAAAUGCGUAGAGAUUUGGAGGAACACCAGUGGCGAA